rnacentral:rRNA from 1 species
UACGGGGGGAGCAAGCGUUGUUCGGAAUCACUGGGCGUAAAGGGUGCGUAGGCGGGUUUUUAAGUCAGAGGUGAAAUCCUGGAGCUCAACUCCAGAACUGCCUUUGAUACUGAGAAUCUUGAGUAUGGGAGAGGUGAGUGGAACUGCGAGUGUAGAGGUGAAAUUCGUAGAUAUUCGCAAGAACACCAGUGGCGAAGGCGGCUCACUGGCCCGAUACUGACGCUGAGGCACGAAAGCGUGGGGAGCAAACAGG